rnacentral:rRNA from 1 species
UACGGGGGGGGCAAGCGUUGUUCGGAAUUACUGGGCGUAAAGGGUUCGUAGGUGGCUUGUUAAGUCAGACGUGAAAUCCCUCGGCUCAACCGGGGAACUGCGUCUGAGACUGAUGAGCUCGAGUGCAGGAGAGGAACGCGGAAUUCCAGGUGUAGCGGUGAAAUGCGUAGAUAUCUGGAGGAACACCGGUGGCGAAGGCGGCGUUCUGGACUGCAACCGACACUGAGGAACGAAAGCCAGGGGAGCAAACGGG